AUGAUGGCAUUUGAUGUCAACAGUGAACCAGUUGACAUGAAUAAUACUUCCAGCAAAGCGAAUCUGGAAAAUAGUGAACCUUUUGUUGGGAUGGAGUUUGAAUCAGAAGAGGCUGCAAAGGUGUUCUACAUGGCUUAUGCUAGUCGAGUAGGUUUCUCUGUGCGCAUUAGCAAGUCCCGACGCUCAAGGAAUGAUGAGUCUAUUAUCAUGCGCCGUUUUGUGUGUUCAAAGGAAGGUUUCCACCACAAGAAGCAAACUGACACUGGCAAGAGAAAGAGAAAGCGUGCAAUAAUAAGGGAGGGUUGCCAUGCGAUGAUCGAGGUUAGUCAGAAAUAUUAUGGGCGGUGGGUUGUGAUCAAGCUCAUCAAGGAACACAAUCAUGCUGUUGCAGCUCCAAGCAUAGUGAGAUACGUUGCGCCUGAAGAAUAUGCACAACUAGAACCUUUUGCAGGAAUGGAAUUCCCUUCUUAUGAAUCUGCCCAAACAUUCUACUAUGCGUAUGCUAGCCGUAUGGGCUUUGAUGUACGUAUCAGAUUAUCCCGCCGUUCACCAAAGGAUGAGACAUUUGUAAUGCGGCGCUUUGUUUGCACAAGGGAGGGGGCUACACCGUGCGAAGAAAAUGAGAACAGGAGAAAGAGAAACCGGGGUGUUCCAAGGGAAGGUUGCCAAGCGAUGUUUGAGAUAGUGAAGAAGGAUCAAGAUAAAUGGGUUGUUUCGAAGCUUUUCUUGGCACAUACACAUGAGCUGGCCAAUGUACCAAACAAGGUGCACUACAUUCAGUCAAACAGUGAGGUAGUUGUUCUUGCAAAAAGUAGUGUUCUUCGAGAGAAUUCAAUUGCUCCAACCUUGAAUUCACCUCUAGCAGACCUAGGGAGGAAUUUUGAAAAGCAGGCGACAAAUGAUCAAGAAAUAAGAGAACCACGCCACAUAUUAAAGAGAUCCAAGGACAUUUUGGCUGACAUAUAUUUUAGGCAUGUUUCUUUUGAAAGAGAAUUUUAUGUGUGCAUCAAUGAGCCUGAAACAAUUGAAAUGUUUGAGUUAAGUUGGAAGAAAGUCCUUGAUAAGUAUGACUUGCAUGACAACUCAUGGCUCCAGUCUCUGUACAGAAUUCGGCAAAAAUGGGUUCCUGUAUAUUUCAAAGGUGUAUUUACUGCUGAUCUUUCAGCAUCUCAGAGACCUGAAAGCUUGAGAAACAUCUUUGAGAAGUACUUCAACAGAAGAACAGCUUUACCAGUUUUCAUUUCAUUGUUUGAGCAUCUGAUGGCCGGUUGGUCAGAAAGAGAAGCUGUGGAGGAUCUGGCCACAUCUUUUACCAGACCUGUCCUAAGAACCCCCUCAAACAUGAUGAAACAA
rnacentral:lncRNA from 2 species